GCAAGUCGAGCGAGAAAGCCCUUCGGGGUGAGUAGAGCGGCGGACGGGUGAGUAACGCGUAGGAAUCUACCUAGUAGUGGGGGACAACAUGUGGAAACGCAUGCUAAUACCGCAUACGCCCUACGGGGGAAGGCAGGGGAUCUUCGGACCUUGCGCUAUUGGAUGAGCCUGCGUUGGAUUAGCUAGUUGGUGGGGUAAGGGCCUACCAAGGCGACGAUCCAUAGCUGGUCUGAGAGGAUGAUCAGCCACACUGGGACUGAGACACGGCCCAGACUCCUACGGGAGGCAGCAGUGGGGAAUAUUGCACAAUGGGCGCAAGCCUGAUGCAGCCAUGCCGCGUGUGUGAAGAAGGCCUUCGGGUUGUAAAGCACUUCCAAUAGGGAGGAAAGGGUGUAAGUUAAUACCUUGCAUCUGUGACGUUACCUAUAGAAGAAGGACCGGCUAACUCCGUGCCAGCAGCCGCGGUAAUACGGAGGGUCCGAGCGUUAAUCGGAAUUACUGGGCGUAAAGCGCGCGUAGGCGGUUUGAUAAGCGAGAUGUGAAAGCCCAGGGCUCAACCUUGGAACUGCAUUUCGAACUGUCAGACUAGAAUACAGCAGAGGAUAGUGGAAUUUCAGGUGUAGCGGUGAAAUGCGUAGAGAUCUGAAGGAACAUCAGUGGCGAAGGCGACUGUCUGGGCUGAUAUUGACGCUGAGGUGCGAAAGCGUGGGGAGCAAACGGGAUUAGAUACCCCGGUAGUCCACGCCGUAAACGAUGUCUACUAGUUGUUGGGGUCCUUGAGACCUUAGUGACGCAGCUAACGCAUUAAGUAGACCGCCUGGGGAGUACGGCCGCAAGGUAAAACUCAAAUGAAUUGACGGGGGCCGCACAAGCGGUGGAGCAUGUGGUUUAAUUUCGGAAGCAACGCGAGGACCUUACCAGGGUCUUGACAUUCCAGAGAAUUCUGCAGAGAUGCGGGAGUGCCUUUCGGAAUUCUGAGACAAGGUGCUGCCAUGCCUGUCGUCAGCUCGUGUCGUGAGAUGUUGGGGUUAAGUCCCCGUUACGAGCG
rnacentral:rRNA from 1 species